UACGUAGGGGGCUAGCGUUGUCCGGAUUUAUUGGGCGUAAAGAGCGUGUAGGCGGCCAGACAGGUCCGUUGUGAAAACUCGAGGCUCAACCUCGAGACGCCGAUGGAAACCGUUUGGCUAGAGUCCGGAAGAGGAGAGUGGAAUUCCCGGUGUAGCGGUGAAAUGCGCAGAUAUCGGGAAGAACACCCGUGGCUAAGGCGGCUCUCUAGUACGGUACUGACGCUGAGACGCGAAAGCGUGGGGAGCGAACAGG
rnacentral:rRNA from 1 species